rnacentral:rRNA from 1 species
AACGAACGCUGGCGGCAUGCCUAACACAUGCAAGUCGAACGGGAUCCUAGCUUGCUAGGUGAGAGUGGCGGACGGGUGAGUAACACGUGGGAAUCUGCCUUUUGGUUCGGGAUAACCGCGGGAAACUGCGGCUAAUACCGAAUGCCCUCGAGAGAGGAAAGAUUUAUCGCCAGAAGAGGAGCCCGCGUCCGAUUAGGUAGUUGGUGGGGUAAAGGCCUACCAAGCCGACGAUCGGGUAGCUGGUCUGAGAGGAUGAUCAGCCACACUGGGACUGAGAUACGGCCCAGACUCCUACGGGA